CUCAUGUGGUCACCACACCUGGGAGUGGUUUUGGAUUUGGGGGUGAAGGUUUCGUCAGGGUUAGUGCGUUUGGCCACAGGAGUAAUGUAUUAGAAGCCUGCAAAAGAUUCAAGCAAUUAUACAAGUAAUCGAGAGAUUAGCAUCCGCCUCGUGAGAUUAGCAUCCGCUGUCUACUAUAUUUAGUCCGAAGAUAAAAUCGACAGUGGCCUCCGUUUAUGUUCAAUGUUGU
rnacentral:lncRNA from 1 species